rnacentral:misc_RNA from 1 species
GAUGAAGAACGCAGCGAAAUGCGAUAAGUAAUGUGAAUUGCAGAAUUCAGUGAAUCAUCGAAUCUUUGAACGCACAUUGCGCCCGUCGGCAUUCCGGCGGGCACGCCUGUCCGAGCGUCAUCAGGAACCCAUCGGGCGGUCCCCUCGGGGGCCGCCCGGCGUUGGGGCGCGCCGCCCGCGCCGUCAGGCGAAAGGCGGCGGCCCUCGAACCCAUCGGCGGUGCAUCGACGCGAGACCGACCGGCGUUGCGGAAUCGUCAAUCCGCCGGCGGCCGUCGAAGCUCCCUUCCGAAAGCCCCACGAGACGAAAAGGACCUCGGAUCAGGCGGGGUUACCCGCUGAACUUAAGCAUAUCAAUAAGCGGAGGA